GUGCUUGCUUUGGCAGCAUAUAUACUAAAAGAGAAGAUUAGCGUGACCCUUGUGCAAGGAUGGCACACAAAUUCGUGAAGCGUUCCAUGUUUUU
rnacentral:snRNA from 1 species